rnacentral:rRNA from 1 species
UUAAGCGACUAAGCGUACACGGUGGAUGCCCUGGCAGUCAGAGGCGAUGAAGGACGUGCUAAUCUGCGAUAAGCGUCGGUAAGGUGAUAUGAACCGUUAUAACCGGCGAUUUCCGAAUGGGGAAACCCAGUGUGUUUCGUCACACUAUCAUUAACUGAAUCCAUAGGUUAAUGAGGCGAACCGGGGGAACUGAAACAUCUAAGUACCCCGAGGAAAAGAAAUCAACCGAGAUUCCCCCAGUAGCGGCGAGCGAACGGGGAGGAGCCCAGAGCCUGAAUCAGUGUGUGUGUUAGUGGAAGCGUCUGGAAAGGCGCGCGAUACAGGGUGACAGCCCCGUACACAAAAAUGCACAUGCUGUGAGCUCGAUGAGUAGGGCGGGACACGUGGUAUCCUGUCUGAAUAUGGGGGGACCAUCCUCCAAGGCUAAAUACUCCUGACUGACCGAUAGUGAACCAGUACCGUGAGGGAAAGGCGAAAAGAACCCCGGCGAGGGGAGUGAAAAAGAACCUGAAACCGUGUACGUACAAGCAGUGGGAGCCUCUUAAUGGGGUGACUGCGUACCUUUUGUAUAAUGGGUCAGCGACUUAUAUUCUGUAGCAAGGUUAACCGAAUAGGGGAGCCGAAGGGAAACCGAGUCUUAACUGGGCGUUAAGUUGCAGGGUAUAGACCCGAAACCCGGUGAUCUAGCCAUGGGCAGGUUGAAGGUUGGGUAACACUAACUGGAGGACCGAACCGACUAAUGUUGAAAAAUUAGCGGAUGACUUGUGGCUGGGGGUGAAAGGCCAAUCAAACCGGGAGAUAGCUGGUUCUCCCCGAAAGCUAUUUAGGUAGCGCCUCGUGAAUUCAUCUCCGGGGGUAGAGCACUGUUUCGGCAAGGGGGUCAUCCCGACUUACCAACCCGAUGCAAACUGCGAAUACCGGAGAAUGUUAUCACGGGAGACACACGGCGGGUGCUAACGUCCGUCGUGAAGAGGGAAACAACCCAGACCGCCAGCUAAGGUCCCAAAGUCAUGGUUAAGUGGGAAACGAUGUGGGAAGGCCCAGACAGCCAGGAUGUUGGCUUAGAAGCAGCCAUCAUUUAAAGAAAGCGUAAUAGCUCACUGGUCGAGUCGGCCUGCGCGGAAGAUGUAACGGGGCUAAACCAUGCACCGAAGCUGCGGCAGCGACACUAUGUGUUGUUGGGUAGGGGAGCGUUCUGUAAGCCUGUGAAGGUGGCCUGUGAGGGUUGCUGGAGGUAUCAGAAGUGCGAAUGCUGACAUAAGUAACGAUAAAGCGGGUGAAAAGCCCGCUCGCCGGAAGACCAAGGGUUCCUGUCCAACGUUAAUCGGGGCAGGGUGAGUCGACCCCUAAGGCGAGGCCGAAAGGCGUAGUCGAUGGGAAACAGGUUAAUAUUCCUGUACUUGGUGUUACUGCGAAGGGGGGACGGAGAAGGCUAUGUUGGCCGGGCGACGGUUGUCCCGGUUUAAGCGUGUAGGCUGGUUUUCCAGGCAAAUCCGGAAAACCAAGGCUGAGGCGUGAUGACGAGGCACUACGGUGCUGAAGUGACAAAUGCCCUGCUUCCAGGAAAAGCCUCUAAGCAUCAGGUAACAUCAAAUCGUACCCCAAACCGACACAGGUGGUCAGGUAGAGAAUACCAAGGCGCUUGAGAGAACUCGGGUGAAGGAACUAGGCAAAAUGGUGCCGUAACUUCGGGAGAAGGCACGCUGAUAUGUAGGUGAAGCGACUUGCUCGUGGAGCUGAAAUCAGUCGAAGAUACCAGCUGGCUGCAACUGUUUAUUAAAAACACAGCACUGUGCAAACACGAAAGUGGACGUAUACGGUGUGACGCCUGCCCGGUGCCGGAAGGUUAAUUGAUGGGGUUAGCGGUAACGCGAAGCUCUUGAUCGAAGCCCCGGUAAACGGCGGCCGUAACUAUAACGGUCCUAAGGUAGCGAAAUUCCUUGUCGGGUAAGUUCCGACCUGCACGAAUGGCGUAAUGAUGGCCAGGCUGUCUCCACCCGAGACUCAGUGAAAUUGAACUCGCUGUGAAGAUGCAGUGUACCCGCGGCAAGACGGAAAGACCCCGUGAACCUUUACUAUAGCUUGACACUGAACAUUGAGCCUUGAUGUGUAGGAUAGGUGGGAGGCUUUGAAGUGUGGACGCCAGUCUGCAUGGAGCCGACCUUGAAAUACCACCCUUUAAUGUUUGAUGUUCUAACGUUGGCCCCUAAUCGGGGUUGCGGACAGUGUCUGGUGGGUAGUUUGACUGGGGCGGUCUCCUCCUAAAGAGUAACGGAGGAGCACGAAGGUUGGCUAAUCCUGGUCGGACAUCAGGAGGUUAGUGCAAUGGCAUAAGCCAGCUUGACUGCGAGCGUGACGGCGCGAGCAGGUGCGAAAGCAGGUCAUAGUGAUCCGGUGGUUCUGAAUGGAAGGGCCAUCGCUCAACGGAUAAAAGGUACUCCGGGGAUAACAGGCUGAUACCGCCCAAGAGUUCAUAUCGACGGCGGUGUUUGGCACCUCGAUGUCGGCUCAUCACAUCCUGGGGCUGAAGUAGGUCCCAAGGGUAUGGCUGUUCGCCAUUUAAAGUGGUACGCGAGCUGGGUUUAGAACGUCGUGAGACAGUUCGGUCCCUAUCUGCCGUGGGCGCUGGAGAACUGAGGGGGGCUGCUCCUAGUACGAGAGGACCGGAGUGGACGCAUCACUGGUGUUCGGGUUGUCAUGCCAAUGGCACUGCCCGGUAGCUAAAUGCGGAAGAGAUAAGUGCUGAAAGCAUCUAAGCACGAAACUUGCCCCGAGAUGAGUUCUCCCUGAGACUUAGAGUCUCCUGAAGGAACGUUGAAGACGACGACGUUGAUAGGCCGGGUGUGUAAGCGCAGCGAUGCGUUGAGCUAACCGGUACUAAUGAACCGUGAGGCUUAACCUU